AUACGUAGGGUGCAAGCGUUGUUCGGAAUUAUUGGGCGUAAAGCGCGUGUAGGCGGUGAAUUAAGUCUGAUGUGAAAGCCCGGGGCUUAACCCCGGAAGUGCAUUGGAUACUGGUUCACUAGAGGACAAGAGAGGAAGGUGGAAUUCCUGGUGUAGGGGUGAAAUCCGUAGAUAUCAGGAGGAACAUCAGUGGCGAAGGCGGCUUUUCUGGCUUGUUUCUGACGCUGAGACGCGAAAGCGUGGGUAGCAAACAGGAUUAGAUACCCUGGUAGUCCACGCCCUAAACGAUGAAUACUAGUUGUCGGGAUACUAAUCGUCUCGGUAACGUAGCUAACGCGUUAAGUAUUCCGCCUGGGGAUUACGAUCGCAAGAUUAAAACUCAAAGGAAUUGACGGGGCCCGCACAAGCGGUGGAGCAUGUGGUUUAAUUCGAAGCAACGCGCAGAACCUUACCAACCCUUGACAUCCUGUGCUACAUCCAGAGAUGGAU
rnacentral:rRNA from 1 species